AUUUAUAUAGUUUAACAAUAAAAUAUUACAUUUUCACUGUAAAAAUAGAUAUUCUCUUAUAAAUA
rnacentral:tRNA from 1 species